rnacentral:rRNA from 1 species
AUACAUGCAAGUCGAGNGACAGAUGGGAGCUUGNUCCUGAUGUAGCGGCGGACGGGUGAGUAACACGUGGGUAACCUGCCUGUAAGACUGGGAUAACUCCGGGAAACCGGGGCUAAUACCGGAUGGUUGUUUGAACCGCAUGGUUCAGACAUAAAAGGUGGCUUCGGCUACCACUUACAGAUGGACCCGCGGCGCAUUAGCUAGUUGGUGAGGUAACGGCUCACCAAGGCAACGAUGCGUAGCCGACCUGAGAGGGUGAUCGGCCACACUGGGACUGAGACACGGCCCAGACUCCUACGGGAGGCAGCAGUAGGGAAUCUUCCGCAAUGGACGAAAGUCUGACGGAGCAACGCCGCGUGAGUGAUGAAGGUUUUCGGAUCGUAAAGCUCUGUUGUUAGGGAAGAACAAGUGCCGUUCAAAUAGGGCGGCACCUUGACGGUACCUAACCAGAAAGCCACGGCUAACUACGUGCCAGCAGCCGCGGUAAUACGUAGGUGGCAAGCGUUGUCCGGAAUUAUUGGGCGUAAAGGGCUCGCAGGCGGUUUCUUAAGUCUGAUGUGAAAGCCCCCGGCUCAACCGGGGAGGGUCAUUGGAAACUGGGGAACUUGAGUGCAGAAGAGGAGAGUGGAAUUCCACGUGUAGCGGUGAAAUGCGUAGAGAUGUGGAGGAACACCAGUGGCGAAGGCGACUCUCUGGUCUGUAACUGACGCUGAGGAGCGAAAGCGUGGGGAGCGAACAGGAUUAGAUACCCUGGUAGUCCACGCCGUAAACGAUGAGUGCUAAGUGUUAGGGGGUUUCCGCCCCUUAGUGCUGCAGCUAACGCAUUAAGCACUCCGCCUGGGGAGUACGGUCGCAAGACUGAAACUCAAAGGAAUUGACGGGGGCCCGCACAAGCGGUGGAGCAUGUGGUUUAAUUCGAAGCAACGCGAAGAACCUUACCAGGUCUUGACAUCCUCUGACAAUCCUAGAGAUAGGACGUCCCCUUCGGGGGCAGAGUGACAGGUGGUGCAUGGUUGUCGUCAGCUCGUGUCGUGAGAUGUUGGGUUAAGUCCCGCAACGAGCGCAACCCUUGAUCUUAGUUGCCAGCAUUCAGUUGGGCACUCUAAGGUGACUGCCGGUGACAAACCGGAGGAAGGUGGGGAUGACGUCAAAUCAUCAUGCCCCUUAUGACCUGGGCUACACACGUGCUACAAUGGACAGAACAAAANGNCAGCGAAACCGCGAGGUUAAGCCAAUCCCACAAAUCUGUUCUCAGUUCGGAUCGCAGUCUGCAACUCGACUGCGUGAAGCUGGAAUCGCUAGUAAUCGCGGAUCAGCAUGCCGCGGUGAAUACGUUCCC